rfam:Schistosoma mansoni, Puerto Rico, WGS project CABG01000000 data, contig: 0080
GCACUGCUGAGGAGUCCCAUAAUAAGACGGAACGGUCGUCCAGUGC